rnacentral:tRNA from 1 species
GGUGAUUGUAGUUCAGUUGGUUAGAACGCCAGAUUGUGAUUCUGGAGGUCGUGGGUUCGAGCCCCAUCAUUCACCCCCA